GCUGAGAUCAUAUAGUGAUAAGUACUCUGCGUUGUGGCUGCAAAUACCCCGGUUCGAAUCCGGGUCACAGCA
rfam:Oryzias latipes DNA, chromosome2, strain: Hd-rR.